rnacentral:rRNA from 1 species
GGAGGCGAACCGGGGGAACUGAAACAUCUCAGUACCCCGAGGAAAAGAAAUCAACCGAGAUUCCCCCAGUAGCGGCGAGCGGACGGGGAGCAGCCCAGAGUCAGCAUCAAUAUUUACCGCAGGAGAAGGGUCUGGAAAGGCCGGCAAUAAAGGGUGAUAGCCCCGUAUUUGAAGCGGUAAGUGUUGUGAACUCGAAGAGUAGGGCGGGACACGUGUUAUCCUGUUUGAAUAUGGGGGGACCAUCCUCCAAGGCUAAAUACUCCUGACUGACCGAUAGUGAACCAGUACCGUGAGGGAAAGGCGAAAAGAACCCCGGCAAGGGGAGUGAAAUAGAACCUGAAACCGUGUACGUACAAGCAGUGGGAGCACCCGAAAGGGUGUGACUGCGUACCUUUUGUAUAAUGGGUCAGCGACUUAUAUUCUGUAGCAAGGUUAACCGCAUAGGGGAGCCGUAGGGAAACCGAGUCUUAACUGGGCGUUAAGUUGUAGGGUAUAGACCCGAAACCCGGUGAUCUAGCCAUGGGCAGGUUGAAG